CCUACGGGAGGCAGCAGUGAGGAAUAUUGGUCAAUGGGCGAGAGCCUGAACCAGCCAAGUCGCGUGAGGGAAGACGGUCCUAUGGAUUGUAAACCUCUUUUGCCGGGGAGCAAAAAGCGGUACGUGUACCGCAUCGAGAGUACCCGGAGAAAAAGCAUCGGCAAACUCCGUGCCAGCCGCCGCGGUAAUACGGGGGAUGCGAGCGUUAUCCGGAUUUAUGGGGUUUAAAGGGUGCGCGGGCGGCGAGUUAAGUCAGCGGUAAAAUUUCGGGGCUCAACCCCGACGAGCCGUUGAAACUGGCUUGCUAGAGUGGGCGAGAAGUAUGCGGAAUGCGUGGUGUAGCGGUGAAAUGCAUAGAUAUCACGCAGAACUCCGAUUGCGAAGGCAGCAUACCGGCGCCCAACUGACGCUCAGGCACGAAAGCGUGGGUAUCGAACAGGAUUAGAUACCCGUGUAGUC
rnacentral:rRNA from 1 species